rnacentral:rRNA from 1 species
GACGUAGGGGGCAAGCGUUGUCCGGAUUUACUGGGCGUAAAGAGCGUGUAGGCGGCCACGCAGGUCCGUUGUGAAAACUGGAGGCUCAACCUCCAGCUGUCGACGGAAACCGUGUGGCUAGAGUCCGGAAGAGGAGAGUGGAAUUCCUGGUGUAGCGGUGAAAUGCGCAGAUAUCAGGAAGAACACCCGUGGCGAAGGCGGCUCUCUGGGACGGUACUGACGCUGAGACGCGAAAGCGUGGGGAGCGAACAGG